rnacentral:misc_RNA from 1 species
CCUGAGGAGGGAUGACAAAUGCACUCCUGGAAAAAGAAACUUUUAGUCUCACAAUUAGCAUUGGCUUGCACUCUGGCAAUCACUUCUCAGGCGAAUGCUCAAGAUAUUUCUGGCACAACCUACAACACGUUUGGUUACGACAGUGUAACUAACCAUGAUGGUUGGUUGUAUGAUGGCUAUGUAAACUGGAAUAACACUUCUGCUGAUUCUACCAACAUCUGGAAUGCCGAUAUUUAUCCAGUAAUCAAUAAAAGUACUGUGAAUGGCGUUAUUUCUGCAUACUAUCUGGACGAUGGUUUUGAUGGUACAGCGAACUCAAUGUCCAUUUCUAACAGCACAAUCAAUGGCAUGGUUACUACUCUGUGCAUGACUGAUGAAUGUGAUGAUGGUGUCGAUGAAGAUGGUACGAAUCAUACUC